rnacentral:rRNA from 1 species
CACGGAGUUAGCCGGUGCUUAUUCAUACUGUACCUUCAGCUACUUACACGUAAGUAGGUUUAUCCCAGUAUAAAAGAAGUUUACAACCCAUAGGGCCUUAAUCCUUCACGCGGGAUGGCUGGAUCAGGCUCUCACCCAUUGUCCAAUAUUCCUCACUGCUGCCUCCCGUAGGAGUCUGGUCCGUGUCUCAGUACCAGUGUGGGGGAUCACCCUCUCAGGCCCCCUAAAGAUCAUCGUCUUGGUGAGCCGUUACCUCACCAACUAACUAAUCUUGCGCGUGCCCAUCUCUAUCCACCGGAGUUUUCAAUAAUAAACGAUGCCGUUCAUUAUAUUAUGGGGUAUUAAUCUUCCUUUCGAAAGGCUAUCCCCCAGAUAAAGGCAGGUUGCACACGUGUUACGUCACCCGUACGCCGCUCUCUCUGUCCGAGAACAAUACCGCUCGGCUUGCAUGUGUUAGGCCUCCGCUAGCGUUCAUCCUGAGCCAGGAUCAAACUCU